UGGUAGGGGUCAGCAUGAUGAAAAUGUCGAUCUCGUUUAGAACCCUUCCUAUACCAGUGACAGAGACCCUCUCUGGGCAUUUGGUACACACAGUGUGGAACAUGAGCUCUACAUCUGGGUCCUUAUGCUCAGGAUUCAACAAAUGAGGCUACCUACAGCAGGACACAGGGGGCAUGGCCUGGAUCCAUUUCUGUACCUAGCUCCUUCCCCUAGGUCCUACCCUUUUUCAUGUCUACUGAUCGUGAAGGACUAGAUAGGAUCUCGGAGCCAACCGGGUGAACCGGGAGAACAGAAACACCCUCCCUACAUGUGACCGGAGAGGGUUGUCACAUGAAGAACAUAUGGUACAGUUUACCAGCGACUCCUCCCAUUUGCUGCCCAAUAAGUAGAUUAACAUUGGGUUUAAUGAUACUGUACGGAUCUGCUGUGCAUUGAAUACAGCUAAAUUGAAUGCAACUAAAAUCUUUAAUUGCAAAACAUUCCACCUAUGAAGAGCGCUGAUGAUUUGUUUCAGAGGAUUUAAAAGUAGCAGAUCCAUAUAAAGGAUUACAUACACUCCCAUCUAUAUGUAUUUGGACA